AUAAAAUAAUCUAAGAUAACCUAGAUUGUAUUGAAUUAAAUAAUACAAAAAGAUUAGUAAUAGAAAUAUAAUUUAAAUAAAUGUUACAAAUGUACCUAUCAUAAUAAUAUUAAGUUAAGAAUAAUAUUAUUAGAAUAUUAGUAUAUUGUAUAUUCUUACUAUAACCUUAUGAACUAAGCACCUCCAAAGAGAACUAAAUUAGGAUAAAAGAUAUCAAAUUUUAGAAACCUCAUUGAAGCAUAAUUAGAUCUUAAUUAUCUGAAUCAUGUUUUAUUUCCAUCUGUAUUUUGUAUAUUAUCUUCUUUGUUAUAUUAUUGCACUACUAACCAACAAUGCUUAGCGCGAUGGUUUUGUUUCCUCGCGCAGGUACUGA
rnacentral:misc_RNA from 1 species